GGGGUCAAAAUAUCCGUGUGAAAACUUUUUCGUCCAUCAUGGCUGCAAUCAGAGUUACAUUUCCCACAUGAAUUAUAAGUUGAUCGGGCGUGCUUUCGACGUGGAAGUGCUUUACAUCACCAAUCAGCGGCCGACAUUCAUUGCCAAGGGAUGACAUUACUAACAAAUAGUUUCUAAAAGCAAAAAAAUAACAUACCCAAAGCCGGCUCAAAGUUAGACUAAAACCAGCAAAGAGAACAAGGAAUCAGAUAAGCUGCAUAAAUAGCAUUAACAAAUAAUUCAUG